rnacentral:rRNA from 1 species
AGAACGAACGCUGGCGGCAUGCCUAACACAUGCAAGUCGAACGAGACCUUCGGGUCUAGUGGCGCACGGGUGCGUAACGCGUGGGAAUCUGCCCUUAGGUACGGAAUAACAGUGAGAAAUUACUGCUAAUACCGUAUGAUGUCUUCGGACCAAAGAUUUAUCGCCUAGGGAUGAGCCCGCGUUGGAUUAGCUAGUUGGUGGGGUAAAGGCCUACCAAGGCGACGAUCCAUAGCUGGUCUGAGAGGAUGAUCAGCCACACUGGGACUGAGACACGGCCCAGACUCCUACGGGAGGCAGCAGUGGGGAAUAUUGGACAAUGGGCGAAAGCCUGAUCCAGCAAUGCCGCGUGAGUGAAGAAGGCCUUCGGGUUGUAAAGCUCUUUUACCCGGGAAGAUAAUGACUGUACCGGGAGAAUAAGCCCCGGCUAACUCCGUGCCAGCAGCCGC